rnacentral:rRNA from 1 species
UGGUCCUAGCCUUGAAGUCAAUUUUUACUUUACUUAUACAUGCAAGUCUCCGCACCCCUGUGAAAACGCCCUUUGAUCCCUCUCAGGGAUAAGGAGCUGGUAUCAGGCACAACACUUAGCCCAAGACACCUAGCUACGCCACACCCACAAGGGACCUCAGCAGUAAUUAACCUUGAACAUAAGCGCCAGCUUGAUUCAAUUAAAGUAAGAAGGGCAGGCAAAUUUGGUGCCAGCCGCCGCGGUUAUACCAUGAGGCCCAAAUUGACUUCUUUCGGCGUAAAGAGUGAUUAAAGUAAAACCACCCUGUAGUUAAACUAAGAUUAAGUCGUGACAAGCUUGUGCUUAGGAGACCCAAAAACGAAAGCUACUACACCCAAAACAACUUGAACUCACAAUCGCUAAGAAACAAACUAGGAUUAGAGACCCUACUAUGCUUAGCCACAAACUUUUAAUUACACCCCAAACGCCAG